ensembl:lncRNA
CAGACAUCUGCUGGAUUUAUAAUACAGCAGAUAGGGAACCGUCCCAGAGGUUCCUCGAGUGUGUGGGAGAUCACUUCCUGACACAGCUGGUGACGCAGCCAGCAAGGGGAAGCAAAAUCCUGCUGUUUGUUAACAGAGAAGGUCUUGUGGGGGAUGUCAAGGCUGGAGGCCGCCUGGGGCAAAGGGAUCGUGAGAUGCUAGAUAUCUCAAUUCUUGCUGAACCACGGAGGGGAGUCAGCAGAACUGCCACCUUGGACUUCCAGAGAGCAAACUUGAACCUCUUUAGGACCAUGGUUGAGAGGUUCCCUUUGGAAGUACUUUUGGAGGGCGUGGGAGCCCAGGAAGGCUGGCAAUACUUUCAGGAAGUAAUUUUAAAGGUGCAGGAGCUGACCAUCCCCAGGUCAUGGAAGAUGAGCUGAUGGGCAAGGAGGCUGGACUGGCUGAACAGAGACCUUCCACUGGAACUCAAGAGCAAAAUGAAAGAUUAUGGUCUGUGGAAGAGUGGGCAAGCUACUUAUGAUGAUUACAGAGAGAAUCCCUCGAGGAGCGCUGACGGUGCCUCUGACACCCGACGCCAUCUUCCCUGAAGCGACUGUGCCGCCACCGGACCCCGC